CUUUUUUAAAGUAGGUAAUAUAAUAUGAACUAUUGUUCAAUUCUGUUUAAGAUGAAGAAGAUAAAUGUGUCAUAGAAGGCAACAAUUGUACAUUUAUCCGUGAUUUGAAUAAAAUUAAACCUUCAGAAAACAGAGAAACACUAGAAUUACUAUUGAAGGAAUUUUUUGAAUAUUUUGGCAAUUUUGCGUUCAAUAAGAAUUCCAUAAAUAUUCGACAGGGACAAGAGCAAAACAAACCUGAUUCUUCUCCGCUGUAUAUUCAGAAUCCAUUUGAAACUUCUCUCAACGUAAGCAAAAAUGUAAAUCAGGGACAGCUACAAAGAUUUGUUGACUUGGCCAGAGAAAGUGCCUGGGUUUUACAACAGGAAGAUGCAGGCCCACCUUCCCCUUCAAGCAGGCAGCCCUGGGGGCUGGCUGCCCUGCUGCUGCCGUCUGUAGCACAGAGCAAGAAGGUACAGAAGAAGAUGCCAAGUGAAAGAAUUAAAAGCCUGUUAGAGUCUGUGAAAAGCAACAGAACACAAAGUACAACAAACACCAGUGAGAACCAUACAGCUAGUUCUCGGACAUAGUGGCUGCUAUUUUGUGUUAAGAACUGGUACCUGAAACUGGUGUGUCCAGACUUUGGUGACUUUGGGUAUGAUCUGCUGUCCCUUUUGCAGUCUUCUCAUUGCCUAGCCCCUCUCCCAACUCUGACCCAGAGUUCUGGAACAUUUUCAGUCUUACCAGCCUGGCACAUGGGUGGCAUUUUAUUAAACAAGUCACAAGGAUGGAAUGAAAGAAGAUUGGAGUGAACUUUAAGUGAGCCACACAAAGUGAGUGGUAAAAGUCAGUUUUAGAAUUAAACCGCUGUUGAUACCCACAUCACUCCCAGGUUGGAAAACACUGAAGAGGACUUCUAGUUAUGUACAUGUGAAGAUAAAUACAAUAAACCUUCAAAAUUUCAUAGUACUCUUUAGUAUGUAUUUUUCUGUUUUUCAAGCAAACUGUUCUUACACAUAAAUUAAAAUGGGAUGAUACUGAAACUCAAAAGUGUUUUUAAAAUAUAUGAGCACAGAUACUUUAUUCACUAUACUCAAGGUGUUCUAAGUUGAACAUAUAAAAAUGUUAAUAUAUCAUGUUCUAAAGUACUAUUGUUUUCAAUUUUACAAACACCACAUCCAGGUGUGGGUGUACAUUCCUGCAAUCCCAGCGCUCAGGAUGCUGUAGCAGGAGAAUCGCUGGAGUGUGAGGCCAUCCUGGGCUACAUAGUGAGACCCUGUCUCAAAAAAAAAAAAAGAAAAGAAAACAAGUUUCUACUAAAAUGUGAUACAGAUUCCCAAUGUGCCUUCACUUCUUUUGAAAAUUCUCUCCCUACUGUAGGAAGAAAGGGAGGAAAGAGAGCAAACAGUAACUUUCAGUAUAAGAAGCAAAGAAUGUUAUUCGCUCUUUCUAGGCCCUAGAUGUUUUUCUUUAAAAUCCUGAUAAUAGCGACCACUGCACUAGAUUUUUUUUAAAGCUGAGGAGCACAGGAUUGAGAUAGGUUACGUAUUAAAUAUCUCUUAACCUGAAAUGCUUAGAAAAAAAUGUGUGCCAGACAUUUUUGCAUUCUAAGGUUUGCCUAUACAUAAAACAAUAUCGAGGAUAGGACUCAAGCCUAAUUUAUGUUUCAUGUAUCCCUUAUACAUACCCUGAAGAUACUUUUUUUUUACAAUAUAUAUAAUAAUAUUGUACAUGAAACAAAGUUUUGGGGUAGAAUUUUCUACUUAAGGGAUCAUGUUAGCAUUUGAAUUAGGAAUGGCCAACCUAUAAAAUUGCUCUUUAGCUAUGACUUUCAAGUGUUUGUUGUGUUCAGUUAUUAUCACUAAAAUUCAAAUUUAAAGUUUAUAAUGGCUUUAAAAAAUUUUGCUCUUAAAUUUUAAGUCA